AAGGAUCAUUAAUGUGAACGGAGUUUAUUCCAUUCUCUGAACACUUCUGCGUAUUGGUAGUUGUUGCUUCCACGGUUGCGCGGGCUCUUCCGUAGUCCGUAUGACCAACCGGUGAAGGUACGGUCCACCGUGGAAGGUUUAUCAAAAUUCAUUGUUGUCUGCUUCUGUCCGAAUGUAAGGUAAUGAAUAAUUCAACUUCAAAACUUUCAACAACGGAUCUCUUGGUUCUC
rnacentral:misc_RNA from 1 species